CGAAAACAUUUAGAGCUGUUCAACACUACAGUUCAGAGGAGGAAAAAGAAAGAUCUACACAUAUUAUCUAAGGCUAUGUGGAUGUAACAUCACUACUCAGUCCUGUGAAAGUUUGUCUUCAGCUCUACAAUCCUCAAACUCAAACAUCCUGAGAGAGCUGGACCUGAGUAACAAUGACCUGCAGGAUUCUGGAGUGGAGCUUCUUUCUGAUGGACUGAAGAGUCCAAACUGUCAGCUGGAGAUUCUGAGAUUGUCUGGCUGUAUGGUGACAGAGAAAAGCUGUCGUUAUGUGUUCUCAGCUCUGAGUUCAAACCCCUCACAUCUGAGAGAGCUGGAUCUGAGCUACAAUCACCCAGAAGAUUCAAGAGUCAAACUACUCACUGAAAAAUUGUUGGAUUCAGCUUGCUCACUGGACAAACUAAAUGUUAACAAUGGAGGAGAAUCCAGGAUUACAGCAGGACUGAAGAAGUGUAC